UUGGAGGGCAAGUCUGGUGCCAGCAGCCGCGGUAAUUCCAGCUCCAAUAGCGUAUAUUAAAGUUGUUGCAGUUAAAAAGCUCGUAGUUGAAUUUCGGGGUCAGUAGGUUGGUCAUGCCACCGGUAUGUACUGGUCUCACUGAUCCCUCCUUCCUGAUGAGCUGUAAUGCCAUUAAUUUGGUGUUGCAGGGAAUCUGGACUGUUACUUUGAAAAAUUAGAGUGUUUAAAGCAGGCUAACGCCUGAAUACAUUAGCAUGGAAUAAUGAAAUAGGACGUUCGAUCCUAUUUUGUUGGUCUCUAGGAUUGACGUAAUGAUUAAUAGGGAUAGUUGGGGGCAUUAGUAUUCAAUUGUCAGAGGUGAAACUCUUGGAUUUAUUGAAGACUAACUACUGCGAAAGCAUUUGCCAAGGAUGUUUUCAUUAAUCAGGAACGAAAGUUAGGGGAUCGAAGACGAUCAGAUACCGUCGUAGUCUUAACCAUAAACUAUGCCGACUAGGGAUCGGAUGAUGUUAAUUUUUUAAUGAUUCAUUCGGCGCCUUACGGGAAACCAAAGUGUUUGGGUUC
rnacentral:rRNA from 1 species